rnacentral:RNase_P_RNA from 15 species
GGAGCUGACUGGGUAGUCGCUGCUUUGUUGAUGUCCUUCGGGAGACUGACAAAGGGGAGGAAAGUCCGGGCUUCAUAGAGCAAGGUGCCAGGUAACGCCUGGGGGGCGCAAGCCUACGACAAGUGCAGCAGAGAGAAGACCGCCGAUGGCCCGUAAGGGUACAGGUAAGGGUGAAAGGGUGCGGUAAGAGCGCACCGGACGACUAGCAAUAGUUCGUAGCAGGGUAAACUCCACCUGAAGCAAGACCAAAUAGGCCUCCACAUUGCGUUGCUCGCGUAAGGAGGCGGGUAGGUUGCUCGAGCCAGUGAGUGAUUGCUGGCCUAGACGAAUGGCUACCGCCGCGCAAGCGGAACAGAACCCGGCUUAUGUGUCGGCUCCACCU